ensembl:lncRNA
GUAAGAAUCAUCUGGGGCUUCCCAGGUGGCAGAAGUGAUAAGAAGCCACCUGCCGAUGCAGGAAAUGUAAGAAACACGGGUUCAGUCCCUGGGUCGGGAAGAUCCCCUGCAGGAGGGAAUGGCCACCCACUCCAGUGUUCUUGCCUGGAGAAUCCCACGAAGAGGGGCCUGGUGGGCUACAGUCCACGGGGUUGCACAGAGUAGGGUGCGACUGAAUGGCUAAUCCCACGAAGAGGGGCCUGGCGGGCUACAGUCCACGGGGUUGCACAGAGUCGGGUGCGACUGAAUGGCUAAUCCCACGAAGAGGGGCCUGGCGGGCUACAGUCCACGGGGUUGCACAGAGUCGGGUGCGACUGAAUGGCUAAUCCCACGAAGAGGGGCCUGGCGGGCUACAGUCCACGGGGUUGCACAGAGUUGGGUGCGACUGAGCGGCUAACACACACACACACACACACAUACACUCAUGCAUACCCUUUUUCAUAUUAUUUUCUCUUCUAGGCUAUUACAAAAUCUUGAGUAUAGUCCCCUUUGGUAUAUAGUAGGUCCUUUUUGUUUAAAUGUUCUAUAUACAAUAGUGUGUACAUCCAAUGUUCUUGCCUGGAGAAUCCCAGGGACAGGGGAGCUUGAUGGGCUGCCGUGUGAGGUCGCACAGAGUUGGACAAGACUGAAGCGACUUAGCAGCAGCCGCAGCAGCAGUGUGUAUACACUAGUCUCAAAUUCCUAACCUAUCCCUCCCUGCUUCCCCUGUGUAACUCUAAGCCCGUUUUCUGUUUCUGCGAGUCUACUUCCUUGUAAGUUUGUGUGUAUCUUUCUUUAGAUUCCAUACGUGAGUGACGUACAUAAGUGUCUUUUUCAGUCUGGCUUACUUCACUGAGUAUGAUAAUCUCCAAGUCACUUUCUCAGAUUUCUCACAUUUAUUUUUCAUUCACUCAGUGUUGCUUAAACCCCUGGGAUGUGCCAGGCUGUAGGCUAACUGCUGAACGACUUAGCACACACGUGAGUGCUUACCCCUGCAGGAGAUGAGAGGCUACUGUGUCUUCAACUUGGCUGUUGGAAACGUCCCAGAACCUGUGACAUCACUUUGGAUGCACUCAGCAGAGACACAUUCAUCCUCUGAGGGUGGGUCUGGUGUUUGGAAUUAGCAAGGAAUCUUUUGGACCCAAGACUGCUGACUUUGGGUGGAGAUUUGAACUGGGAAAUGCUGACAAGGGAAAACUAGAAUUAAA